rnacentral:rRNA from 1 species
GUUGCCAUCGGGUAAUGCCGGGCGACUCUGGAAGGACUGCCAUCGACAAGGAUGGAGGAAGGUGGGGAUGACGUCAAGUCAUCAUGGCCCUUAUGUCCGGGGCGACACACGUGCUACAAUGGCCGGCACAACGGGAAGCGAGUUCGCGAGGACGAGCGGAUCCCUCAAAGCCGGUCGCAGUUCGGAUUGAAGUCUGCAACUCGACUUCAUGAAGCUGGAAUCGCUAGUAAUCGUGGAUCAGCCAAGCCGCGGUGAAUACGUUCCCGGGCCUU